CAAGAAUUAACUCCUUUUUUUCAUAUAACUGCAUAAAAUUUCACAGAGUGAUUUAUUUUUCAAAACAGUUAUAUCAUGUAUAUGGUACAAAUUUCAAAAACAAACAAAAGAUUGUAUUAAAAGAUAAAGCAGGUCUCUUUCUCAUCCUAUCUUUCAGUUCCCAAGCCUGCCCAGGCGCACCCAAACUAUUAUUACCAAUGUCCUUUAUUUCUUCCAUAGAUAGCCUACCAUUAACAAGGACACAUGCAUAUAUACACAUUUUCCACUCUCCUUUGCCAAUAUGCUUUUUUAAAAACAAAAUGGUAGCCUUCUGUGUAUACUGUUUUGCAUCUUGCUUUUUUCACUUAACAAUAUUGCUUUGAGAUAAUUCCAUAUAUAAUGCCUUUAGAAUUUAACAUUAUGAUGUAUUCAGUCAUUGACACAUACUCCUUAUAAUCAUCAUCUUUAGUGGCUGUAAAAAGUUUGAGUAAAUGCUUCAUCCAUUCCUUUAACAAAUAUUUAUCAACUACCUGCCACAUUAGCAGUGUGCUAAUGAUUCUAAGAUUAAAAGGAGAUGGACCACACCCUUGAAGGAGUCACAGCAGAGUGGAGGAGACAGUAAACAAGUAAUUACACGUAGUCUCCAAGUGCUGAAAUGGAAGCAUGUCGGAGCCACUGAUGGAACAAAAGAGGGAGCCUUGAAAACGCUGGUGCAAAGUGUUGAGGAUAAGGAAGAGGACUCAGCUCACAGACACAGGGCGAGGUGGGGCUUCAUGCAGGGACCAGGAACGACAGGUGCAAAGGCAGGGACACAAGAAGCAACAUUGUGGUCCAGGUGGCUACAAGGACUUGGGAGGAGCCCUCGUCUAGGAUCUUUAAGUUGUGGCCAAGUCUUCAAUAUAAAUAAUGCUGUGAUGUACAAUUUGCGGUGUAUAACUUUUGCCAUAUUUUGGAGUAUUUCUUUGGCUAGAUUCCCAGAAGUGGGACUGCUGAGUUAAAAUGCAGGAGCAUGCUGACCUGUGACAUACAGCCAAAAUGCUUUCCAAGUGGACGGUAUCAUUUCAUGACACUGGCAAUGUAGGAGCAAACCAGUGCUCAU
rnacentral:lncRNA from 1 species